rnacentral:misc_RNA from 1 species
UUUUACACCCCUCUUCCCCCACUCACUUCCUCUGUCUCUCUUUCCUUCUCUUUCUGGGUCUCUCUAUCUCCUUCUCUGUGCCCGUUAUACUUUCCAGAUUUUUGCCAUCUCUUUCUUUUCCUCCAUUGAUCCAACUUCCAAGCUCAUAGAAACAAAUAGGAGAAGUUGCAGAUUUAUGGUUUAUGGUCCUUUCGUUUUCAUGCACUUCUG